GACGAACGCUGGCGGCGUGCUUAACACAUGCAAGUCGAACGGAAAGGCCUUGCUUUUGUUGGGUGCUCGAGUGGCGAACGGGUGAGUAACACGUGAGUAACCUGCCCUUGACUGUGGGAUAACUUCAGGAAACUGGGGCUAAUACCGGAUAGGAGCUCCUGCUGCAUUGGGGGGGUUGGAAAGUUUCGGCGGUUCGGGAUGGACUCGCGGCUUAUCAGCUUGUUGGUGGGGUAGUGGCUUACCAAGGCUUUGACGGGUAGCCGGCCUGAGAGGGUGACCGGCCACAUUGGGACUGAGAGACGGCCCAGACUGCUACGGGAGGCAGCGGUGGGGAAUAUUGCACAGUGGGCGGAAGCCUGAUGCAGCAACGCCGCGUGCGGGAUGACGGCCUUGGGGGUGUAAACCGCUUUCGCCUGUGACGAAGCGUGAGUGACGGUAAUGGGUAAAGAAGCACCGGCUAACUACGUG
rnacentral:rRNA from 1 species